CAGCCGCCGCGGUAAUACGAAGGGUGCAAGCGUUAAUCGGAAUUACUGGGCGUAAAGCGUGCGUAGGCGGUUUGUUAAGUCUGCUGUGAAAUCCCCGGGCUCAACCUGGGAAUGGCAAUGGAUACUGGCAAGCUAGAGUGUGUCAGAGGAUGAUGGAAUUCCCGGUGUAGCGGUGAAAUGCGUAGAGAUCGGGAGGAACAUCAGUGGCGAAGGCGGUCAUCUGGGACAACACUGACGCUGAGGCACGAAAGCGUGGGGAGCAAACAGGAUUAGAUACCCCUGUAGUCCCUGUCUCUUAUAC
rnacentral:rRNA from 1 species